AGUUUGUGUUGACCUCCUAUCCACUUGUUACAAAUGGAUUCGUAAAGACUACUGUUCCCCGUCAUCAUCAAAAUAUUGCUACAUGAAGUAUUUCUGCAGUAGGACUUGUGAAAUUUGGAGAAAUUCUGAGCUGAGCAAAGGAGGUAUAAUGUAUAUUACUUUUUUAAUAUACUUGGCUUUUUACACAUCAAAACUAAAUGACUGAGUGUUUUUAUUCAACAAUUUUUUUUGUUGAUUGAAACAACGAAAAUGUUUGUGGAAACUCUUGAAGAAAUGUUUUCCGAAAAGACGAAAAAUAUCUCCCGAUUUUUUGCCGUGAUCAAUCGAGUUACGUUAUAGAGCACGUACUGAAUUCAACCUAUCAAAAACGUUCUUAUAUAACAUAUAUGUAUUUAAUUUGUAAAGCUCAUUAAUAAUUCUUGAAGAAAACACAAAAGAAAUCAUGACCGUGAAGUAGUUUGUAUAUCUGAUGCAAAAUCAUGCUAGUUUACAUAAACUUUAAGUUCAAUUUUCUCAUCAAAUAUCAUUCAUUUUAAAUUGUUGAAGAAUACGAAUGUUCUCAUCAAGACGUUUCACAAGCUAUUUACUUAAUUCGGCUCGAGUUUGUAUAUCCGCGAUACAACAGCCUCUCAUGUUGUAAAUAGUAUACAUAAAAAUAAUUUAUAUCCGAUCUGUAUCUUAUUUACUACGGCUCGAACAACCGAACUUCAAUAAACUUCUCUCCUUUUAAUUAAACCGGUUUGCCACUAGGCGAAUUUGUGCACGCAAAUUUUUUCCUUUGUCGUCAUCGCUUUUGCUUUUUAAGCUUAAUCAUGUUAUAAUAUAGCUUGUAUAAAUUUUGUAAUAUUCCUUUGCGUGAUACACUGCCCUUUCAAAAUCACAAGUGUGAAAGAAGCCAAUGCCAAUGAAGACAUACAUUAUAUAGGAGAAAAGAUAUGAUUCUUCCAUCUGCUGAAUGUAUCACCAUGAUGUUUAUGUUUCAGCAACUUGUGUUGACCUGGUUCCCAAUUGUGAGGCAAAGGCACUUAGUGGUCAAUGUACGAAUUUGGAUCAUCGUCAAUACAUGGAAAAUAUGUGCUGCGAAUCCUGUCGUGGUUAUAGUUGUAUAGAUGAAGAUCAUUUUUGUGCUAUUUGGGCCAGCUCUGGAGCAUGCACUAUUUUCUCUUAUGUGCAAAAAUACUGUAAAAAGAGCUGCAAUUUAUGUGACAUUUAAAAAUAUAAUAAAAGCUUACAGAUUUUUACUGGCCGUAUUUUAAAUAGUUAAAUAAACUUAGAAAUUUUUGUUAUGAUAUGGAAAAUAAAUAUAUAUUCAAGACACUACAU